GGCGACCAGCUGGCUGCUCGAGGCUCGAUCCUGGCCGGGUGACCACUUGACGGCCAGUCAUCCGGAGUCGGACUGCGAUGUUCAGCCUGAUGGCGAAUUGCUGCAAUUGGCUGAAGCGCUGGCGAGAGCCAUCCAGGAAAGUGACUCUGUUGAUGGUGGGACUGGAUAAUGCGGGGAAAACGGCCACAGUGCGAGGGAUCCAAGGAGACGAUCCCCACGACGUGGCUCCAACCGUGGGUUUUUCCAAGGUUGACCUGAAGCAGGGCAAGUUUGAGGUGACCAUCUUUGACCUCGGUGGCGGGAAGAGAAUCCGGGGCAUCUGGAAGAACUACUACUCUGAGUCGCACGGCGUUGUGUUCGUGGUCGACUCCAGCGACAUCCAGCGGAUCCAGGAGACGCGCGAGGCCUUGGCUGAGGUCCUUCAGCACCCGCGCAUGUCCGGCAAACCUGUGCUCGUGCUGGCCAACAAGCAGGACCAGGAAGGAGCGCUGGACGAAGUGGACAUCAUUGAUCACCUGUCAUUGGAGAAGCUUGUCAGCGAGAACAAGUGUAACUGUCAGAUCGAGCCGUGCUACGCGGUCCUUGGCCACGGCAAUAAGGUGGAUAAGUCCAUCAAGAAGGGCCUGAACCGGCUCCUCAACAACAUCGCCAAGGACUACGAGGCCAUCGCCGAGCGCGUGCAGAAGGACACGUCCGAGCAGCGCGCUCAGGAGGAGCAGGACAAGAAGGAGCGGGCGGAGAGGGUGCGGCGGAUACGAGAGGAGAGAGAGCGACAGGAGCGGGAGGAGGCAGAGCGAGAAGGCAGGCCGCUCCAGGGAGAGGAGCCCGGCGACGACGACGACAUUCCCAGCCCCUUCAUGCCAAUCAACAAUGUCAUCUCUCAGAACGACGAUAAGGAAAAGGAGAGCAAGAGGCAAAGGGAGCUGCAGUACGAAAGGACUAAAAGCCCGAAGGCGGACGUCAUUGGAGAGCAAGAGGAGGAUGACGACGAGGAGGACGACAAGGAACCAGAUCACUCGAGCUUGCCGGAAAAUGCCAGUUCAGCCUCAGUGGGUGAGCAAAGCAAGAAGAAGAUGGGGAAACUUCACCUGAAGAGGAAGCACCGGGUGGACCCACUGAGGACGGAGGACGGGCCGGCAGAGAGCCCCACCCCUCCCGCAGUUCCUCCAGGCAGGUCUUCAUUUCACUGAGCGACACCGGUGACGCGGAGAGCUGGAAGCCGGUGCGAUGAGGACGAUGUUAUGCAGGAUGAGCACGGCCAGCGCACCGGUGCCCUUGAGCAGUGAGAAUCCUUGUUCUGACCAAUUACCCAUCCACACAGGUAAGUGAAUAUGUUUAGCUGCAGAAAAAAAGCACAUUAGCUUACAGGUAAUCACAGAAGAGAGAAACUGUGGCCGCUGGGAAAAUUGUCUCUUGUAACAAAUAAUAGAAACAUGACACACACAACAAAAAUGUCACUUCUUCCUGAAAGUCUCCAUUAGCACAUCUGUCAAACUAAGUGGUCAUAAAUGUUUGAUGGCUGACUCCAUAUUUUAAACUUAACUGAGUCAUUUUUCAUCAUCAAAUGUUGAUUGCAAGAAUCACAAGGCUUCAAAAAUAAAUUUCACUCCAGCUCACAAGUGCCACAGCACCUACAUGAGACCUCGGUGGCACCUGAGCAUUAACAUGAUCUAACAUUGCUUAUUAUUUUCCUUCCCACACAGUGCUGAAACCCAACUCUGUACAACCCGUCCACUGCUUCAGGCUCCUCCUGAUCUCAUACUGAUCUACUUAAGAUUAAUUUAGUCUUUUGGGGGGAUUUCAGGGAUGGGAGUGAACACUGGCAGUUCUCAAAGCUAUCCACGAUCUACUAUAUGUGCUCCUUGAGUGAGUAGAAGUAAAUCUCCCAUAUGAUGCAGCUUGUAAAGAAAACAAAAAAACAAGCAGAUAGGUUUGCAGUGUCUCACUCAAGGGCACGUGGGCUGAUGAACGCACUGCAUGAGAGUUCAGUUCUUCAUGUUAUUUAAAGCCGAAAAAUAUUCCACUUUUUUCCCAUAAACUUGUCAUUAUGAUGUUAAAACUGAUUGCACAGUGUAAUGCCAAACACCAUCCGCACUUAUAUUGGUCCCCUAUAAGGUUUGCUCUCACCAUUGUAAAACGUCACCAUUGUUUAGCCACAACGGUGAGAAUAACGUUCUCCCUGUUUCUAUCCCCAGUGAUGGAAACUCAGAGGGUGAAACAGCGAAGUUGACUAUCCUGUUGAUGGAGGAACAAAUGCGACGGAGAAGGAGAGUGAAGCUAGGACAGGCGGAGAGAGCUCCGGGACUCGAGAGGCUUCAAAAAUGACAUGCAGUUUGUCUUCUUUCUACUAGAUCGUUUCCUCUCUAUGAAGAAGGAGGAUGCGGAGCCGAGGUGUCGCUCCCUGCCAGGGUGCUCUGCCAGGACACAUCUGUCCAGCUGUCAGACAUAGAGACCCAUCAAUCAAACCGCUGAGUGCAGAGGCUCUGUCUCACGGGCCCCUGGGCUUGUACCUGGCAGACGAUGAGGGAUAUUAAGAAGCCAACUAUCGACCCCACUGGUGCCACUCCUCUGGCCGACGCCAUUGUUCAGGAGCCAUUUUCAUACAUUAGCUUCGGUCUCUUUAUCGUUCAGAGGCACAUUCUGUAUUUGAUCAAAUGUGACAGAGCAAUAAGUUCAGUCAAAGUGACUGAUAAAUAAAAUUACGCUGGUGUCCCUACCCCCAUGUUCAGCUGCUGCUUUUCACGUGGAUGUCUCUGCUCGGCAGAUGAAUGAAAGGAAAUUAACCUGAUAUUGGACUCAAAAGGGAAUAUUAUUUAGAAGUGUGUUAUAUGGCAGUCAGCCAUGUACCUCCACAUUGCUGAACUUUAUUCUCCCCAGCUCUGUCUGAUCUGUAUCAAAUGCUCCAUUGAGUAAGACCUGUAAGGAGAAACGUUUAAGGGGAAACUACGAGAUUCGAUUUAGAUGGUCGGCCUCCAAACUGAAUCCCCAAUGCCGUUAUUACGGGAAUGGAGUGGAGCGCACUUUAUACACAAUUACUUUUCUAUUCGAGUGUUUGAUGACCUAAAAUGCAUUGGUGCAGGAUUAACAUGAGCUACAGGAAAGCAUAUUAUUACAAGAGAAAGCUCCUCACUCCCGUUUGAGUCUCAGUCCCACGUGAAACAAGUAGGGAUUCAUCUUUGCUCUCUGCUACACGGUAUGUUCAAGCUUUUUGAAAUACUGCAGUCACUCUAGUAUUUAGCUUUUAUCGCGGUGCACAGCAUGAAAGUUGAAAGGGAAUUAAAGUAGGAGAGAGUGAGUGAUACUGAAUCCUAGGAGUGCAAACUGAGUUGGACUUACUGGAAAGAAAGAAAAAAACAAAUCUCUGAUUUUUGAAAAGUUCGCAAAUAAUAUUUUAUGAAGGUGUGGAGUAGAGCUGUCUCUUUAUUUCAAAAGUUCAAACAAAGUUCGAAUGACAUUUACUUUGUUCAAAUGCAUUUUGAAUCGAAAACUGUCGGUGUAGUAGAAGCACCUCAAAUCUAUCCUUAAGCGGAAUACUCGAGUUAAUGAACGUAUCACCACUCUACAAUAAUAAGUGCACUUAAGAAAAGAGUGGGGACUUACUAUUCCACCCUAACACUUCUCCCUCACACAUUUGUCGCAGUUUCAGCAAACUUUGCAUGAUACACUGACCUUUGAGACAUAACAUGUCCUUGACCAGCACAUCACUUAAACAUGUGUCUACAAUCUGACCACCACCUCUGACGUACUUGUGGAGGCAAGCCGAUGUGAAGAGAAUCUCUCUGACUGGUGUCAGAAGAGAAUUAUUACAUUACUUGUUGAUAUUGUCAGUGCAUCAAAUUAAUUCUUGCAGAGGUUGAGAGCUGAGUUGAUGAAGAUCUCUGCCCGCUGUGAUUUCAUCUGUGUGUAUAUCUUAUUGUUUGAUGCCUCUGAGACUCAGUUCAGGGAAACGAAAGCAACAUGUUUCUACAUGUUUUUAUUGUUUAAGAAUCCAGUCAUUUAUUUUAAAAAGCAUUUUCUAAAUUAGAUACACGAAUGCGAGCAUAUUGACAAGACACCCGACGUGAAUAUUUACACUUUUAGCAGAAGGUCACAUUGCUUUAAAGCUGCUCCAUUGAAAGAAGCAUGGACAAACAAAAUGCAAAUUUUUAAUUUAAUUUUGCCGAGGCAAUUCCAUAUGGCCUAUUAUAAUAUAUAGUAGAAAUAUAUAAUAAAGUGCGCAUAGUGUAUAAGUAUAUGUGUGCCCAGUGACAGUCAGUAUAAGAUGGUCAUAAGUCACAAGUUCCAUUAAGAAUGAAUGAGAUUUUGACAGGCCUUGGGGAGGAAGUGGGCUGGUGGAUAUGUGAGGUAAAUGAGCACCCGGCUACCCGGGAACUUCCCUGUAAGACUUGUGUUGCCAAACAACUUAACAGACUUGUUGUAAAUCACAUCAUUCCCACCUCGCCCACAGUGACGAAAUGGUCCAAGCAGGUUCUAGAGCUUAAAGCAGAUUCUUCCGAGCUCCUGUAGGUUUUACUUGGAUUCCCUGCUCUUACUUUGGAGCCAAAGGAGGCUUUCGUUGCAUAAAAUUUUGAUUCUUAAUGUCGCCAUGAGAUUGGAAAUGAUUACACAGCAGGUGUCCCUGUGAGUGAUUAGUUUUCUAUAAAGUGGGUUUAUUAAAAGCCAAAAUCAUAAUGUUUCAAUGACUUAAAAUCUGUUAGAAAUCUCAUUCAUCUAACCAGAUUGCAUUUUAUAAUGAAACACACUUAGUUUCCCCCCCCCCCCCUUUUUUUGUUUGUUUUUGCUGUGUUGGCUGCAGUCAUCAAAUGUAUGUUUUGGCUCCAGUGUGCAGCAGUGGAAAGAAAACCGGUUGGCUGUGAAAGUUUUGGGCAACUCUUAAAGCACCAGCUGGCUGCUUACAAGACUUGGCUGGUAUAGCUGAUAAGCUGAUAAGAGUCGACUUCGCAGAUCAAAACCCGGGAGAGAUGUCGAAGAUUGGAUCUUACAUCCUGCCCCCCCUCCCCCCAAAGAAAUUAUUCACAAAUAACAUUCAGACUAUCUUAUCUGCAGCGAUUAACCUCGGUAAAUACUGGAAAUGAGACGUUGGCGGAAUGUGUCUCUCUGUUGGAGCCAAAUAAAAGGCAGCACAAAAGGGGAAGGGUAUGCAAAUAUUGUUUUUUCCUAAGGGAUGAUGGGUAUUAGCAGUGUGGCGACACCUGGGAGAGCACAAGGCUGCUUUUGGAAAGUUAAUGUUUGGUUGACACAAUCUUCUAUUCCAACCAUUCCCAUAUGCACUCAUUAAAUCCAUAAUUUCCAAAACAAGCACAAAGUGUAGCCCCAAUAUGAUGGAGUAGAAACCAACUACGUUGGUUGGAACCAAUCAUUGUCAAGUUCUGACACACUGGUCAUAAAGGUUUGAAUCUAUUGUUUGUUUUUUUCGAAAAGUUUAUUCCAUCCUAUUUCAAUUUUAAAGUGAAUAUAUGAAGAUUACUAUUUAUUGUCAUUAGCCACAUAUGCUCUGAAGGUUUGAAGAAAAUCUAUUACGAAACCACAGAAGGACUUUAAGAAUACACGUAGGCUGUCCCAUGUCUAUGAUUGGUAAUAGAUCAGGUCUCAAUGGGUUGAUUGUACAACCACUGUCCAUCAGUGAACCACAUGUUGUAUGUGCAAACUAAGAUAAAUAACAGUUUUUUCUUUAUUAAAAUUAUGUCUCUAAGAUUUUCUUUCAUUCUAACGGGAUGAAUUCCUCAAUGUCAUUCACGCGUUUUUCUCUUCUCAACUUCUAAAUGACGCCCUUGAAUAAUAAUUUUACAUAAA